CAAAUUAAAGCUUUAAAGCGUUUUAUUUACACUAAAAAGUUAACUUGAAUAGUUUAGUUUGA
rnacentral:tRNA from 1 species